UACCGCCAUUUUAGAGAGUUAUCUGCUCUCGGCGUGUUUCUUUGGUCGUUCCGAAUGAUUCGGUAUUUUUCCUGAAAAUCUUGCAAGCAUCUGUUUUAUUUUUCGCGUAACAUACUGCAGUAGGGUUAGUGAUUCAAGAUGAGUUACGGCAGACCUCCGCCCGACGUCGAGGGCAUGACAUCUUUAAAAGUCGACAAUCUGACGUACCGCACGUCCCCUGAAACACUGCGGCGGGUUUUCGAGAAGUACGGCCGAGUCGGGGACGUCUAUAUCCCGAGAGACCGGUACACAAAAGAGAGCCGCGGGUUCGCCUUUGUCCGUUUUCAUGAUAAGCGGGACGCGGAGGAUGCGAUGGACGCCAUGGACGGCGCGCUGCUGGACGGCCGCGAGCUGCGCGUGCAGAUGGCGCGAUACGGGCGCCCGCCAGAUUCACAUUACAGCCGCCGUGGAGGCCCACCGAGGAGGUACGGGGGACAUGGACGGAGAAGCCGAAGCCGUAGUCCUCGUCGCAGGAGGCACAGCCGGUCUAGAUCCAGAAGCCGUUCCCGUAGCAGAUCCCGCUACAGCCGAUCCAGAUCCAGGUCCUACUCACGUUCCCGAUCUAAGUCCCGUUCCCGCUCCAAAACCCGCACACCACGCAGAAGCAAGUCCAAAUCUCCUUCCAGGUCCCGUUCAAGGUCUAAGUCCAAGUCUCACUCCAGGAGCCAUACUCCCAGAUCAAACAAAGGAUCCAAAUCACGAUCCAGAUCGAGAAGCAGACCCAAAUCUCCAGAGGAUGCUGGAGCCACUGCUGAAUCCUGAGCUGAAACAUAGGUGAGCCUAAUGCUUUGUAUGAAGACAUCCUGAUUUUCUUGCAGCUGGGGGAAUUUGUAUCGUCACCCAAUAAUUUUAAUGACAAGUGCACUUAAAUUUUUUUAAAUAUAGUUAAUGCUGUUAGUCAUGAACUUGAUUUAAUUAAACUGAUUAAAGCAGACCAGCUAAUGACCACCAUUAUAACUCAAGCCCAAAGUAGUUUAAAAUAAAUACUUGCGUGGCUCACUGAUCACUGAAAAUGGCUGCUUAAAAUCUAUUUAAUGGUUCCUCCCCCUUUACUUUCCUCUUUCACUAAGUUCCAUACAUCUGCAGAUGUAGUAGAUCGGCAGAUGCAUUCUCAAAGGAGGUUUCAUGUAUUACCCAAGUUUUGGGUUUUACAGCAUUUGUCUGGUUUCUCAGUUUCUGCAUGACUUUAAGGGUUUAUUUUUAACUUAAAUCCUAAACCUCAGAACGGAUGUUUGAUUUGGAGCGGUCCUGGGUAUAAUACCGUAAGUAUGUUGUUUUGAAACGUGUACCAGCCAAAAUCCAUUGAUUUUCAUCUAAAUGUGGAAUUUUUUCCUCCAAGCUGCUGAUUCCUGUUUGCAAAAGGAGUUUGGGGCAGUUUGAGAGCAGUUAGUGUGUGAUCCGACCAUUGGCUGCCUGCUGCUGAUUGGCGGUUGCUAUGGAGCAGGUCGGUCUCAUUGAGUGUUGAGGUGGUGUUGAGAUGAUGUCAGCUGGUUGAAUCUUCGAGGAUCGCACCGAACAGAUGUCCAUCUGAGGAUACUCAAAUUAUCCAUAUAUCUGACCGAAAGGUUAUUGUGAUUUGGUCUAAAUCUUUUAAAUGACUAGUUUUUCUUUGUUGCCCACAAUUGUUUUUGUCAUACAUUUGAAUUUCUUGUGAUAUUAAAUGAUCUUUAUGCCUAAAUUGGGCUAAUAGGUGAAAUCACUUCUCUUUAUUUUUGGUAGUUUGUUUUUGUUUUUGAAACUCCCAGACUAAAGUAAGUUCAUUUUUAAUCAGAUUUUUGUUCUUAAUAAAUGCUUAUUAUUGGACCAUUUUGGAUGUGAAUAUUUCUUUGACCUUAAAGGACUGGGUAGAGACCGAAAUUUGGCCGCUAAAAAAACCUUUAUGUAAAACAGUGACAUCAUAAAGCUUGCUAACCGAGCAGGUGUUAUGGUUUAAAUGGAAAAUUUAACAAUAACUUGAUUUCUAAUAUUCUCUCUUGUGUAUUUUCUAUGCACUAGGCGCAGUUGCGUAGCAGUUGAGUUUUGCUGGUUAGCUGUUAAGGUGGCGUGUUGCGGUGCAGAGUGCUUGGCUGUUUCCAGUAUUCUCCUGAUUGCUCCUGUGUAACGCCUUGAUUUUCUUUCAAUUUUGGCUGCA